rnacentral:rRNA from 1 species
UACGGGGGGGCAAGCGUUGUUCGGAAUUACUGGGCGUAAAGGGUGCGUAGGCGGCGCGGUAAGUCGGAUGUGAAAUCUCGGAGCUUAACUUCGAAACUGCAUUCGAUACUGCCGUGCUUGAGGACUGGAGAGGAGACUGGAAUUUACGGUGUAGCGGUGAAAUGCGUAGAUAUCGUAAGGAAGACCAGUGGCGAAGGCGGGUCUCUGGACAGUUCCUGACGCUGAGGCACGAAGGCCAGGGAGCAAACGGG